ensembl:lncRNA
CCCAGUUUAAUGCAAAAGCAAGGCUUUUUUCAAGUUUCUCCCCACAGAGCAAGGGCACUUGUACUGCAACAGUACCAUGCUCAGGGUACUAGCAGGAACUUGUUAGGUCUUCUGGUGGAAACAUUUCUAACACCAAACCUUUGUGGUGAAAAACCCACAACUGCUGUCAGUUUCAUAUACAGUGUCAUGCAUGUGAAAACAAAAACCGUUGUGUUUUUUUUUCCUCAUUAAAACCUUCAGUAAACCUAAAAAAAAUGCCAUGUUGUCAAUUUUAUGUUGAAUUAGAGUUUGGACCCAAGUGACAAAAAAACAAACACAACACUUAAGUAACUGUCACACUGUAAGAUAAGUAGUUCCCCUCACACGAGGUGCUAGAUGAUGCCACUGAAACAUAGACUGAAGCGCUGAAAUUUGAUUUCAGUGCAGAAGCUUUGGUGAAUUAAUUACUUGUCUCCGUCUCCGGAUGUAGUCCUGUGAAGCGCUGCUGGGAUGUACCUCUCUGAGACAUCAAUUAAUGGAUCCGUUCUCCAAACUUUUUCUUUAUGGAUGAGCUGUGAGCUAUGUGUCCUCAAGUACUGACUGGACUCUCACCUGAAUUCGUAAUUUAGGAAGCAUUCCCCCAAAUGACACUUUUCAGUUUAAUGCAAAAACUUUUUAGUGUCAAAUAAGUUAAUCAGCUGAAAAAAAUUUCCCGUACAAGGCGUAAGGCAUCGCUGUCCUCUGCUGCUGUCUGCGGUGGUUCAUUCGUCUUCCCAGCCUCCACAUUCUCAACUGUUCCUGAACGCUGACCCUCAGGUGUUUGUUGCUGCGGCCUGCUGGUGUAAAGUAAUGUUUCCACCUCUGUAAUGUCCAAGUCUGUUUCUGAAACAUACGUCAUGUCCAGAUCUUCAGUGCAGUCUGAUGGGGACUCCUCUGCAGCAACUGGAUUUGCUGUCAGCUGUGAAUUUGUGGAUUUCCCCAUCUUCUUAACUGUGUCUACUGCUUUUUGUUUACCCUGGGUGUGGGUGAAGGGAAGAUCAAGCAAAUAUUAAACGACGGUUAAGAGAGUAACCCACAUGUGAUGAUUAAGAGUUUAACUGCAUACAGUAAUAUUGGAUAUAAUGGACUGUGAUGUUAAAACAUCAUUAUAUUACUUAUGUAGGGCAUGUGGGGGAGGGGGAAAUCAAAUGUUUGAAAAGAGAAACAGCACCACCUGCUGGCGAGUCACGAGUGUCAGGUCCUCACAUGAGCCGUUUGUGAAAUAGGAAACAGCUGCUUCUACCAGCUCUUGCUCGUUCAUACAGUAGAAAGCAGACCUGGGAACAUAUCAGUGGAUUGGUGAACGAGCAGCAGGCAGAGGACCAGAGGACUGGCUGUGAGAGUAACAGCAGGUAUGCGUGGCCACUUUGAGUUCAGACUUCACACGGCUCAGGGUGAGGUGGAGUUUAAGCGCUCUUUCUCAACCGAACAUGCGCCGAUAAUAAAUGAUUCACGCAACUCCGAGACAACACCUUCCCUUUAUAAUCAGUCACAGGGGAAAGUGUUGUUUUCAAACACAAGCCCAGAGGAUGCAGCUUUGUGAAAGUCCACAUGUUGUGUGAGCGAGCGUUUAUCUCCUGCUGACUUUCUUACCCACCUAUUAAAUAAGUAUGGUC